GUCACUUUGCCGGAGUGGUUAACGGGAUCGCCUGCUACCCAGUAGUUCAGCGGUUGGUCUUUGACCGCGAGUGUUCGAAUCGCUCAGGUGACG
rnacentral:tRNA from 1 species